CGGGAGAUUACGUUCGCUAGGAUCAACAAUAUCAGCAAACCCAGUCCAGAGAACCCUUAAGCCUAGCCAUCCACCCAGACCAAGCCUAGUUUCCCUUUGCACCUCCUUGUAUUCCUUCCCGCUCUUCCCUCGACUACCCGACCUGCGAUCCUAGACGUUGGUUGGUCCGUUGACAAUGGUGCAAGUGGUACAUUGUCACGGUCCAGUUAGUCUUCCAUGCUUCAGCUUCUUCCUGUGGUUGUGGGACUUCUAACUUUCUGAGGAACUUCCUUUUGCCUAGCUUUCUGGGGAACUUCCUUAUAGCUUCGCCUUGUUGUAAAUGAAUAAUAUCUAGCCUGUAGACUUUAAUGGAGCAUGUGAUCCUUGCCAUCAAAGUCUUUAUAAUACUUUACUUUGUUGAGAGAACAGGUGCGGGAUUGCCAUGUAUCUCGCCGUUCAUUAU
rnacentral:sRNA from 1 species